CUCAAUAGGAAAUUCUAUAAUAUGGCAACAGUGAAGAUACCCUCCAACAGUGAAGUUUACUUUCGUUCUACUCUAUGUUCAGCACAUGCACCUGGCAAGGGAUGAGAAUGAAAGAAGCAUCCUUGACUGGGCUAAAAAGUAGGGCACACAAAGUAUAAGAUGUGGCAAAAGCAGGAACAGAGACAAUCAGCCAAAGGCAUUUAGGAACAAUGAUGGAGAUUAACAUGGCACAAUUAAUAAAGGUGGUUGAAAUAACACUGAAACUUCCUUGAAAUAUACAUCACUUUGUUCUCCAUAUAAG